rnacentral:rRNA from 1 species
GGUCCGGUGAAGUGUUCGGAACGCUGUGACGCGGGCGGUUCGCCGCCCGUGACACGGUGNGAAGUCCAUUGAACCUUAUCAUUUAGAGGAAGGAGAAGUCGUAACAAGGUUUCCGUAGGUGAACCUGCGGAAGGAUCAUUG